rnacentral:rRNA from 1 species
UACGUAGGGUGCGAGCGUUAAUCGGAAUUACUGGGCGUAAAGCGUGCGCAGGCGGUUUUGUAAGCCAGGUGUGAAAUCCCCGGGCUCAACCUGGGAAUGGCAUUUGGGACUGCAAGGCUGGAGUGCGGCAGAGGAGACUGGAAUUCCUGGUGUAGCGGUGGAAUGCGCAGAUAUCAGGAAGAACACCCGUGGCGAAGGCGGCUCUCUGGGACGGUACUGACGCUGAGACGCGAAAGCGUGGGGAGCGAACAGG